rnacentral:rRNA from 1 species
AGAGUUUGAUCAUGGCUCAGAUUGAACGCUGGCGGCAUGCCUAACACAUGCAAGUCGAACGGCAGCAUGUUAAGUAGCAAUACUUAAUGAUGGCAAGUGGCGGACGGGUGAGUAAUACGUAGGGAUCUGCCCAGAAGAGGGGGGACAACCCGGGGAAACUCGGGCUAAUACCGCAUAUAAUUCUGAGGAAGAAAGCUUGGGCAACCAGGCGCUUUUGGAGGAACCUACGUCCGAUUAGCUAGUUGGUGAGGUAAAGGCUCACCAAGACCGAGAUCGGUAGCUGGUCUGAGAGGAUGAUCAGCCACACUGGGACUGAGACACGGCCCAGACUCCUACGGGAGGCAGCAGUGGGGAAUAUUGGACAAUGGGGGCAACCCUGAUCCAGCGAUGCCGCGUGUGUGAAGAAGGCCUUCGGGUUGUAAAGCACUUUAGGUUGGGAAGAAGUUUUGCGGGUAAAUAGCCUGCAAGAUUGACGGUACCGACAGAAUAAGCACCGGCUAACUCUGUGCCAGCAGCCGCGGUAAUACAGAGGGUGCGAGCGUUAAUCGGAGUUACUGGGCGUAAAGGGCGCGUAGGCGGUUAUAUAAGUGAGAUGUGAAAUCCCUGGGCUUAACCUAGGAACCGCAUUUCAAACUGUAUGGCUAGAGUGCAGUAGAGGGUAGUGGAAUUUCCGGUGUAGCGGUGAAAUGCGUAGAGAUCGGAAGGAACACCAGUGGCGAAGGCGACUACCUGGACUGACACUGACGCUGAGGCGCGAAAGCGUGGGGAGCAAACAGGAUUAGAUACCCUAGUAGUCC